GGGUGAUGAAGACAAGAGGAAAAUAUAUAUAUUUUUUUAUUUUUUAAUUUUUAUAUGCAAAGCAAUGCAAAAUGGAGGAUGAAUGCAUUUAAACAAAUAUGUUGUGGUUAAAAUAAAGAUUAAAAAAAUGAGUGUUAUGCAUGAACAUUUGGGAUUUAGCUUUUUCCUGUGGCAUGGCCCAUCCAAAGGACAUCAUCAUACCAACUUUUAAAGCCGAUAUAUGAGCCGGGAUGUUCCCGUUUAACAUUCGACUACCACAAGCUAGACUAGGAGCCCGAAUAGGUUGACAACAAUAAAAUUGUUGUCUAUCUAGACUAGGCAUGAUGCCCGAAUAAAACUCAAAGACUAGG
rnacentral:lncRNA from 1 species